CACUAUGCUUAGCCUUAAACCAAGGUGACAACCCUACAAACUUCACCCGCCAGGGAACUACGAGCCCUAGCUUAAAACCCAAGGGACUUGGCGGUGCCUCAAACCCACCUAGAGGAGCCUGUCCUACAACCGAUAAUCCCCGUUAAACCUCACCUCUCCUUGCCAAUUCCGCCUAUAUACCGCCGUCGCCAGUUUACCUUUUGAGGGAAUUACAGUAAGCAAAACGGGCAACACCCAACACGUCAGGUCGAGGUGUAGCGAAUGGAGAGGGAAGAGAUGGGCUACAUUUUCUGGUAACAGAACACUACGAAAAUUGCAAUGAAAAAUGCACAGCCGAAGGUGGAUUUAGCAGUAAAAAGAGAAAAGAGAGUUCUUUUGAAACCGGCCCUGAGGCGCGUACACACCGCCCGUCACUCUCCUCGAAAAACGAAGUGACAAUUCAUAAAAACUUAAGAACAAUAGAGAGGAGGCAAGUCGUAA
rnacentral:rRNA from 1 species